AAAGUACUCCCUCCGUCCAAAAAUUCUUGUCUUAGAUUUCUCUAGAUACGGAUGUAUCAAGUCACAUUUUAGUAUUAGAUACAGCCAUAUCUAGACAAAUCUAGGACAAGAAAUUUGGGACAGAGGGAGUAGUUG
rfam:Triticum aestivum genome assembly, contig: Triticum_aestivum_CS42_TGACv1_scaffold_569420_7AS